CUAUUAGAUGAUGAGGAGUUGAUCUCGUACAUCCUCACCGGCCUUGAUGUUGAUUACAAUUCAAUCAUGUCUGCUAUCGUUGCGUGAGUGGAACCAGUGUCAGUCAACGAGUUGUACGCUUAGCUUCUGAGCUUCAAAA